GUUAGCUCAGUUGGUAGAGCAGUUGGCUUUUAACCAAUUGGUCGUAGGUUCGAAUCCCACACGACCCACCA
rnacentral:tRNA from 16 species